AUUCCAGCUCCAGUAGCGUAUAUUAAAGUUGUUGCAGUUAAAAAGCUCGUAGUUGGAUUUCUGGUUUCACAGAACUGGCCUACUUCCUCAAGGUCGUGUGCGCCGUGUUUUGUGUACCAUCCUUCUAGAAAUUGUGUUCCAUCCCUUCACUGGGAUAGAUCCGAGAUCUAGAUCUUUUACUUUGAAGAAAUUAGAGUGUUCAAAGCAGGCUCGCGCUAUGAAUACAUUAGCAUGGAAUAAUAAUUUAGGACUUGGUAUCCUAUUUUGUUGGUUUUCAGGAUCUAAGUAAUGAUUGAUAGGGAUAGUUGGGGGUGCUAGUAUUUUGCGGCCAGAGGUGAAAUUCUGUGAUUCGCGAAAGACUAACUUAUGCGAAAGCAUUCACCAAGGAUGUCUUCAUCG
rnacentral:rRNA from 1 species